GGGUUUGAUCCUGGCCCAGGACGAACGCUAGCGGCGUGCUUUAAGCAUGCAAGUAGAACGACCAUGUACCAGGCGCAAGCUUCGGUACAUGGAAGUUGCGAACGGCUGAGUAAUCAAUAGGAAUCUUUCCUUUAGUGGGGAAUACCCCCGAGAAAUCGGGGCUAAUACCGCAUAAGCCAUGCACCAUAUGGUGCAUGGGAAAGCGCAUAACUGCGCGCUGAUUGAGGAGCCUAUUGCCUAUCAGGUAGUUGGUAGGGUAAUGGCCUACCAAGCCUACGACGGGUACCCGAUCUGAGAGGAUGGACGGGCAGAAUGGGACUGAGACACGGCCCAUACACCUACGGGUGGCAGCAACUGGGAAUCGUACACAAUGGACGAAAGUCUGAUGUCGCGACGCCGCGUGAAGGAUGAAGGCGUUUUCGUUGUAAACUUCUUUUGCCAAUGUAGAGAUGCAUUGGAGAAUAAGCACCUGCUAAUCUCGUGCCAGCAGCCGCGGUAAUACGAGAGGUGCAAGCGUUGUCCGGAUUUAUUGGGCGUAAAGCGUUUCUAAAGGCUCUUUUGUAAGUUAUUCUUUAAAGACCAAGGCUUAACCUUGGGAAGGGGAAUAAUACUGCAAGAGUUGAGAUAUUUCGGGGUUACUAGAACUAUUGGUGUAGGGGUGAAACCCGUUGAUAUCAAUUGGAAUUCCAAGGGCGAAGGCAGGUAACUAGGAAUUUUCUGACGCUGAUGAACGAAAGCUAGGGGAGCGAAAGGGAUUAGAGACCCCUGUAGUCCUAGCCGUAAACUAUGCUCGCUAGACCAGCGAUUUAUUUUGCUGGACGUAAGCUAACGCGUGAAGCGAGCCGCCUGGGGAGUACGAACGCAAGUUUAAAACUCAAAGGAAUUGACGGGAGAGCGCACAACCAGUGGAGCAUGUGGUUCAAUUCGAGACGAACCGAAGAACCUUACCCGGGUUUGACAUGUUAUCGUUUUAGAUCUGCAGAAACGUGGAUUGAUCUUAUUGAAAAAUAAGAUGAUAACACAGGUGUUGCAUGGCUGUCGUCAGCUCGUGCCGUGGGGUGUUCCCUUCAGUGGGGUAACGAGCGCAACCCCUGUUCUGUAGUUGCCUUCAAAGGUUACUGCUUGGCGAUGGCCGGAUGGCUGCCGCGCAGGACAUAUUUCUGUAUCUUCCCGGUUGCCGUUUUCGGCAGCUCGCUGAGAAACGUAAAUCCUUUCGGGAUGAGAAAUCUUGCGCAUGAUGCCGCGGCAAAAAAAUCCGAUCAACGGCA
rnacentral:rRNA from 1 species